GACGAACGCUGGCGGCGUGCUUAACGCAUGCAAGUCGAACGGAAAGGCCCUGCUUUUGUGGGGUGCUCGAGUGGCGAACGGGUGAGUAACACGUGAGUAACCUGCCCUUGACUUUGGGAUAACUUCAGGAAACUGGGGCUAAUACCGGAUAGGAGCUCCUGCUGCAUGGUGGGGGUUGGAAAGUUUCGGCGGUUGGGGAUGGACUCGCGGCUUAUCAGCUUGUUGGUGGGGUAGUGGCUUACCAAGGCUUUGACGGGUAGCCGGCCUGAGAGGGUGACCGGCCACAUUGGGACUGAGAUACGGCCCAGACUCCUACGGGAGGCAGCAGUGGAGAAUAUUGCACAAUGGGCGGAAGCCUGAUACAGCGACGCCGCGUGCGGGAUGACGGCCUUCGGGUUGUAAACCGCUUUCGCCUGUGACGAAGCGUGAGUGACGGUAAUGGGUAAAGAAGCACCGGCUAACUACGUG
rnacentral:rRNA from 1 species